AUACAGAGGGUGCGAGCGUUAAUCGGAAUUACUGGGGCGUAAAGCGAGUGUAGGUGGCUCAUUAAGUCACAUGUGAAAUCCCCGGGCUUAACCUGGGGAACUGCAUGUGAUACUGGUGGUGCUAGAAUAUGUGAGAGGGAAGUAGAAUUCCAGGUGUAGCGGUGAAAUGCGUAGAGAUCUGGAGGAAUACCGAUGGCGAAGGCAGCUUCCUGGCAUAAUAUUGACACUGAGAUUCGAAAGCGUGGGUAGC
rnacentral:rRNA from 1 species